rnacentral:rRNA from 1 species
GACAGAGGGGGCAAGCGUUGUCCGGACUGACUGGGCGUAAAGCGCGCGCAGGCGGUCAGAGGCGUCGGUGCUCAAAGUCCGCCGCUUAACGGUGGGAGGCGUGCCGAUACGCUCUGACUGGAGGGCGGGCGAGGGUGGUGGAAUUGCCGGUGUAGUGGUGAAAUGCGUAGAUAUCUGGAGGAACACCGGUGGCGAAGGCGGCGUCCUGGACCAACACUGACACUGAUGAGCGAAAGCCAGGGGAGCAAACGGG